rnacentral:other from 1 species
AUAUCCCUGCGGUGCGCGUUGGAAUUUUGAUAAUUAUUGAACCAACAGUAAUAUCAUGGGAGCUUACACUUCGUUAACGCUAUUAGCGUUCAACGAGAGGCACCCACCUGAAACCAAAUCGGUUCAGACUAUCAUUCCAACGGCACAUUGCGGGGAUUUU